rnacentral:rRNA from 1 species
AUUGAACGCUGGCGGCAUGCUUUACACAUGCAAGUCGGACGGCAGCACGGGGGCAACCCUGGUGGCGAGUGGCGAACGGGUGAGUAAUGCAUCGGAACGUGCCCUGUCGUGGGGGAUAACACAUCGAAAGAUGUGCUAAUACCGCAUACGACCUGAGGGUGAAAGCGGGGGACCGCAAGGCCUCGCGCGACAGGAGCGGCCGAUGUCUGAUUAGCUAGUUGGUGGGGUAAAGGCCUACCAAGGCGACGAUCAGUAGCUGGUCUGAGAGGACGACCAGCCACACUGGGACUGAGACACGGCCCAGACUCCUACGGGAGGCAGCAGUGGGGAAUUUUGGACAAUGGGGGCAACCCUGAUCCAGCCAUGCCGCGUGAGUGAAGAAGGCCUUCGGGUUGUAAAGCUCUUUCGGCCGGGAAGAAAUCGCACGGGCUAAUACCCUGUGUGGAUGACGGUACCGGAAUAAGAAGCACCGGCUAACUACGUGCCAGCCGCCGCAGUAAGAC